rnacentral:rRNA from 1 species
UACAGAGGGGGGCAAGCGUUAUUCGGAAUUAUUGGGCGUAAAGGGCGCGUAGGCGGCCUGGCAAGUGGAAGGUGAAAUCCCUCGGCUUAACCGAGGAACUGCCCUCCAAACUGCUUGGCUUGAGUCCGGGAGAGGUGAGUGGAAUUCCCAGUGUAGCGGUGAAAUGCGUAGAUAUUGGGAGGAACACCAGUGGCGAAGGCGGCUCACUGGACCGGAACUGACGCUGAGGCGCGAAAGCGUGGGGGAGCAAACGGG